GGGGACGUAGCUCAGUUGGGAGAGCGCGGCACUCGCAUUGCCGAGGUCGUGGGUUCGAAUCCCAUCGUCUCCACCA
rnacentral:tRNA from 4 species